GAUGAACGCUGGCGGCGUGCCUAAUACAUGCAAGUCGAGCGAACGGACGAGAAGCUUGCUCCUCUGAUGUUAGCGGCGGACGGGUGAGUAACACGUGGAUAACCUACCUAUAAGACUGGGAUAACUUCGGGAAACCGGAGCUAAUACCGGAUAAUAUUUUGAACCGCAUGGUUCAAAAGUGAAAGACGGCCUUGCUGUCACUUAUAGAUGGAUCCGCGCUGCAUUAGCUAGUUGGUAAGGUAACGGCUUACCAAGGCAACGAUGCAUAGCCGACCUGAGAGGGUGAUCGGCCACACUGGAACUGAGACACGGUCCAGACUCCUACGGGAGGCAGCAGUAGGGAAUCUUCCGCAAUGGGCGAAAGCCUGACGGAGCAACGCCGCGUGAGUGAUGAAGGUCUUCGGAUCGUAAAACUCUGUUAUUAGGGAAGAACAUAUGUGUAAGUAACUGUGCACAUCUUGACGGUACCUAAUCAGAAAGCCACGGCUAACUACGUG
rnacentral:rRNA from 1 species